UGGGGAAUCUUGCGCAAUGGGCGAAAGCCUGACGCAGCCAUGCCGCGUGAAUGAUGAAGGUCUUAGGAUUGUAAAAUUCUUUCACCGGGGACGAUAAUGACGGUACCCGGAGAAGAAGCCCCGGCUAACUUCGUGCCAGCAGCCGCGGUAAUACGAAGGGGGCUAGCGUUGCUCGGAAUUACUGGGCGUAAAGGGAGCGUAGGCGGAUAGUUUAGUCAGAGGUGAAAGCCCAGGGCUCAACCUUGGAAUUGCCUUUGAUACUGGCUAUCUUGAGUACGGAAGAGGUAUGUGGAACUCCGAGUGUAGAGGUGAAAUUCGUAGAUAUUCGGAAGAACACCAGUGGCGAAGGCGACAUACUGGUCCGUUACUGACGCUGAGGCUCGAAAGCGUGGGGAGCAAACAG
rnacentral:rRNA from 1 species